rnacentral:rRNA from 1 species
GACGAACGCUGGCGGCGUGCCUAAUACAUGCAAGUCGAGGGACCGGCGCACGGGUGAGUAACACGUAUCCAACCUGCCCUUUACUCGGGGAUAGCCUUUCGAAAGAAAGAUUAAUACCCGAAAAAAAGGAUGGGGAUGCGUUGCAUUAGGUUGUUGGUGUGGUAACGGCUCACAAAGCCUUCGAUGGAUAGGGGUUCUGGGAGGAAGGUCCCCCAGCUUGGAACUGAGCCACGGUCCAAACUCCUACGGGAGGCAGCAGUUAGGAAUAUUGGUCAAUGGGCGCUAGCCUGAACCAGCCAAGUAGCGUGAAGGAUGAAGGCUUAUGGGUCGUUAACUUCUUUUAUAUAAGAAUAUGUAUUAUAUGAAUAAGGAUCGGCUAACUCCGUGCCAGCAGCCGCGGUAAUAC